rnacentral:lncRNA from 1 species
AUUUUUUCACAUGCUAGAAUUUUAAUUAUACUAAUUACUUGAAUUUGAUUGGCUCUAGGUAAUGUUUUUCUCAAACAUGGUUCUGAACUCCGCCUGAUUCCCCGUGAUAGAGUUGGAGCUUUUGCGACUUUGGGUGCUGCCUUAGUAUCAGGGUGAAGAGAUUGGACUACAUUCUCUAGUCCAUUUGAAUAGGUAAUACAUCCUGGAUGUAUUUUCUCGAGUUUUCUUGGCUUUCAAUGAGUUGGAGGAUUGUCAUACUCUCCUGAGCAUCAUAUUACUGUAAUUGGCUCUAAUAAAAAAGAUACUAAUAUAGUCAAUACCAUUAACCUGUGAGGGAUUGGAACGAUGGCUGGUUUAUAUAGAUGGACUUUGAGUGAAAAUGAAAGGAAGAGAAGGGCAGUUCCAUAAAUAUAUUAGGCCUGGUAUUGCCCUUUUGGAGAUGGGCCUGCGCCAAUAACAAUAGGCCGAGUCAGUGAUUCUCAAACCUCCAUAAUACAAUUAUGCAAGUUGUCAGAUGGUAGACAUCCAUUAUUUGUUGGGCUGAGUUAGAAAUUCUAAACAGCUGAGCAAGGAAACAUUGUGGUUCGAGUGCAGUGAUAAAUUAUCCCAAGGGACAGUGUGAACCACCCUGGAGUAGCAGGGUUCUAAUCUUAGAUUGUCAGAAUCUGAUUAGGGAGGCAAUGCUAUGGCUAAUGAUAUUCAAGUAGCAGAUUUGAUUAACUAAAAUAGGGUAUGGAUUGAACACUUUCAAGCGUGAACAAUCCUAGUGAGUUCAUUAUGAUGGUAGGGAUAUUGUUUAAUUUGGAAGGUUUCACUUUUCCUACUAAAGACAAAAAACGAAAGAAAAGAAAAAGCUUCCCAUUCAAAACGUGAUAAUGCUUCUUUAUCUCCCUUUAGUGAGAGAGCAUUGUUGGAGGUGUAGCAUUAACGCAUCUACGACCCAUCGUGGGAUCUUUUACUGAAAAUAAAGUACAAAGAUUUAAGCUAUCUUUGCUUUUAGAAAAUUUUGAAAAAUAAAUGUGAGAAAUAGAAAAUAGAGGAAAACAAGAAGGAAAUAAUUUAUUUUAAAAAAAAAAUUGAAAAUUAAAUUUAAAAAUAAUAAAUUAUUGUUAUAUGUUAUUUUAAAUUCAUUAUAUAUAUAUAUAUAUAUAAUAAUUUUAAAAUACAUAAGUAUUUAACUAAUUUUAAUUAUAUUUGAUGUUUGUUAUACAAAAAAAUCACUGUAGAACCAGACAUGAAAAACCUCUUUUCUUGACAUUUCUAUUCUUUUCUCAAUAAUUUUUUCGGAACCAAAUCAAAUAUAAAGAAAAUUAUUUUAUUUUUUGCAUUUCUUUUUUUUUUUUUUCAAUACUUUUCCGAACCAAACCAAACAUAAUCUCAGGAAAUGCUGUGAGGGUGCAUCUUGUAUUAGAUGCUUUUCCCAGUUAAUGUUUUUUGAAUUAUGGCAACCCUGCAGUCGCGUUCGUAGUGUGGGUUGUACAGCAGUGUGCUUAAAUGCUGUACCAACUGGGAGCACCCAGGAAAGGCAACCAAUAUGAAAUUUGCUGUAUUGGAAGUCGGCAAGGUUUGUUGAUGUAAUGAGGUGAAGGUCCACCAUGAGCGUGGUCAUUAUUCCACGAUUUUGGCGCCUUUGGAUGAUUACCACCUUUUGAGGAAGUGAGGACAGAUCCAUUUAGAUCUGUAUCUAACCCAAAGGAUUUUGAAAGUGGCCCCAGUAUCUAAGCACUGACCCAUCCCGACCAUUUCAUGUUCCCCAACUGCCUUCGCCUCUCCGUUGCUCGGAAGUGACCCAACGAACUUUACCCUAAUGCUCCAUCUAUUCUCUCUUCUUCAUCACCCAUCCUAAAGAGGAGAGUUGAUCCAGUACAACAAGUCUUUAAGGGAGGAGUUGUUUAUUUUCUUGCGGUCAUGGAUCUCCACAAUUGUUGCUUUCACGAUUGUUACUUUGGUGAUUGAUUCUUUAAAAAAACUAAAUUUGAUUUUAAAAGUUGGGGUUGUUUGUCUUUUACCUUCUUUUUUUUCCUUAAAUUUUUCAUAUUUGUUAGAGUAAUUUGUUUUUUUAACUUCUUACGUUUUUUUUUUUAAGAAUAAUUUAUCUUUUCAUGAAUUACUAUCUUAACAAAAAAAAAUUUUAAUUUUUAACUUUAUUAUAAUCCUUAAAUUCAAUUAAAAUUCAUAAAAUCAAUAAAUUAAUUUUCAUAAAUUCAUAAAUAUGAAUACAACCCAUUUGAAAACAAAUGUUUAUUUUGAAAAUUUUUGAUAUUUUCUUAAUAACCUAACAAAUCCUAAUUAUUAUCUCAUCACUAAUUUUCAUUAGUCAUAUAAUUAAUUAUUCUAAAUUUUUUAUUAUGAUAUUUUGGGAUAUUUAAAAAUAUAUUAAGGGCUUAUCACUUAACAGUACACUCAUAAAAAUACAAAUAAAUUUAUAUUCACAUUAAAAAAAACAAAACAAAAAAUAUACUAGAAAUUAAAAAAAAAAAAAUCGCAUUAAUUACUUCGAUUUUUGGAAUUGGGGCAGGAUUAUGCCAUCCUUGUUUUUAAAAUUUCUUGCAAAAAACCUCCUCAUUUACCGUCGGGAUAGCUGAAUCAAAUCCAAAUGAUUCUAGAAGAGCAAGGGGGCUCAUCACAUCCUCAAUUUUAGAUUUUUCUUUUUCCCCCUUCAUUCUCUCAACACCACAUGUUCCCCGAUUGCCUACCCGUCACGAAACUCCAAUAAGAAUGUAAGUGGAUGGUGCGUCACUAAGCAAUUUUUGUGGCUUAAUUUUAAUCGUACCAUUUUUGCAGUGGUGCCCCAAAAAUAAAUAGUAUGUGGUUAAAGGGCUCUAAAGCUUCAUUAUCCCAAAUACAUACACUUUUUCUCUAUAUACACCCAUCUCUUUCUCUUUUUUAUAGGACAUUAAAGGCUACUAAAGCAUAAUUAUCCUAGACAUGUUCACUUUUCCUUUAUAUACCCAUAUGCGUUUUUGGUAGUGCAGAAAAAUAAAAAUGGUUUGUACUUCAAGUCGCCCAAGCAAAUAUUCUGCGCUAAAAGGUGUGUAGUGGCUGUUACACAUAUACCCCUGGUCAUCUCGAAACAAGAGUCAACCAAUGGGUAGUUCUGUAAAUAUGCAUAUCAAUGUCUCUCCAAAGCUAAUUUAGUGUGCGAGCCGAUCCCGAGAAAGUGAUGGGGGAGCGCAUGUCUCGGCGUGUCUGAGGUCCUCCUUUGGACAUGCGAUUCUGAUGACGUCAUCAACCGCAUCAUUAUUUCUUUUUGCAUGACCAUUUUGCCCCUUCGCCGUGACUUUCAAGGGCAACCGUCCCUUUCAUUACGUUCACUCACUCACUUGUGGCAGGGUGACCCCAUAUCCCCUCUGCCCCCAACCUUUCACUCUCUGACGGAGACUGGUCAAUACAUUAGAAACUGCCCUUGGAUCUACACAUAACUCGACAAAGGUUAGUUCGCGGUAAUGAGAGUGGCUUGUUUAGGGACGUAGGCGUGGUGCAUCCCAGCUCUCAACUGAAAACGUGGCCCAUUGUGCCAACUGUAUUCCAGUUUCUUAUAUUUUCCACGUAAAUCCUUGUAUCGAAACUCCACAUCGGAAAUUCAAUAUGAAAGAUUAACCUUCGGUCAUUAAUUUCCUCCAGCAAUCAGCGGGCAGUAUGAUUAUGGUUCAAGCCUUAAAAGUUAAAACUCACUUUCGGCCUAUUGUCAAACUAGGUGAGCUGUUUUUCAUUAUCCUCGUUCCUGACCAGCUAUGAGCCCUAGAUGAAGUUCAGACAUUAGUUCUCUUCGAAUCUUCGUGCAACUAAAUUUUCGGGAACUGUCUUUACGUAAGAAUCGAGGUGGGAGAUUUGAUGCUAAAUCGGAUCCACCACAACUUGCGCAUGUCUGCCCAUCACAUUCUAACCCGCUGUAUUUAAGAAGAUUGCCCCUUUUAUUCAUUAUUCUUAGCCCUGCAAAUUGAGCAAACGGUUAAUCGUAGACUCGAGAUCAUACCGAAAUAAAAAAUAAUCAAUCCAAACUCAUUUCAGUCUAACUUUUAAUAUGAAAUAUUUAAUGCAAGUUCAAUUCAAUCUUGUUUUUAUUAAAAUUCAAGUUGAUCGAAAUCAAAUUUAAAUUAAUUAUAUUAAAUUUAAAUUGAUCAAAUUAAAUUCAUAUUAAUUAAAUUGAUUUAAUUGCAUGAUUCAAAAUCAAUCCAUGAAGAUUUUUAAAAGCUUUAUACAUAUAUUCAUAUCAAAAUUAAAAUAGUAUAUAAGACAAAACUUGAUAAUAACAAUAAAUAAAAAAGUAAAAUAAACUUAUUAUUUUAUAAAAAUAAAUAAAUAAAAAGUAUAUGAUAUAAUUAUAAUCUGAUUUUUUUUAUAACCUAAAAAAUAAAAUAAACAUUAUAAAAAUAUAAAUUAGGUUUGAAUUAGACUUAGAUAGUAUGAAUCUAGACCCAAACCCCAUUCAAAUUGAGUUCAAAUUAAAAAAAUUUAAUUCAAAUUCAAUCAAAGUAAUCAAAAUAUCUAUCUAAACAUUAAGUUGAGUUGAGCCAAUCCACCUAAGUUGUAGUCGCUAAUUAUCCCUAAAACAUUUGUAUGAUAGACUCCUCAAAUAUUUGGUAUGAGUGAUUUGUUUGAUGGUUAAAGACGGAAUGGAUAUACAUAUAUUUAUAAAUUAAUAACAUGAAACUUUGCUCCUCAUUCAUCCAUUCAUUCAUUCAUUUAAGUGGUUCAUCUAAAAAAUAUGUCAUAGUAAUUGCAUAUCUUGCAAGUGAUCUCCCUUUUUCUUGAUAUGAUAUAAAAGAGUUGAGUAAUUAUGGGGUUAAUUUUUGCCUCGUAUUAAGAAAAUAUGAACCUUUUCUUAAUAAUUUUUAGUUUUAUUAAGCAUGUCAUGAUUGUAAAUAACCAUCAUAUAAUUCAACCGUCACUCUGUUUUCAUUUUUAUUUUUCAUAUUAUCUUUUUGUGUUUUUUUUUCCAAUGACAAUAGGAAUGUAACCCUUGCCACGGGCUAGCCCAUUUGCCUCAUUUUCUCUAUUCACCGGUGCCUUCAUAGUUGAUUAAUUAUGUUAAAAAAAUCGCAUGAAUUGGUGAACAGAUCAAGAAAGUGAAAAAAUAAAUAAAUAACAAAUAAUAAAUAAAAAAAGAAUAACAAUAUAGAAUAAAUCUAAUUUUUUCAUUGCAUAUAAGUCUGAUAAUUGGGUGAUUUUUUUUAGACUUGUAACAUAUUUAGAAUUUAAAUAAAUAAGUUAGGAAUGAGUUUGAAUUUUUUCUUUUAACCCAGGAUGGGUUACGGUAUCGCCUUAUUUAUUCUCACCCUAAUUAUAUAUAAAUUAUUUUUAAAAAUUAUUUAAUUUUAAUUUAUUUUUUUAAUAAUAAUAAUAAUAAUAAUAUGUUAUUUAAUAAAAUAAGUUAUAAAAAUGAUAAUAUUUUAAUUAUUUAUAAAAUAUAUUUAUUUUAAUAUAAUUAAAAAAUAAAUAAAUUGGAUGAGAUGAGCGUAGAAUUUCACGUACCCAUCUAGUGUCGUUCUUUAAUUUUUAGAAUAUAAUAAAAAUAUGAAUUAUUUUAAAUAAAUAGGAGGAGAGUGGGGACAACCCUUGCCGACCCGGCCCCUUUGCGUUCCGUAAUUGCAUCAACGUUAUUUAGGUUUAAAAAAAAUUGAAAAGAUGGGUAGGUGUAACGUCUUACAAUCGUCAACCUCAAAGUAGUUCCAUGAUUUCACCACAUGGGGUAUAAGAUGAAGACAAAGCGAAGUUGUGAAGGGUAUAAAUGUCCAAAAGGAAAAUUAAAUGCUGGUCCACUGGGUGGGAAUGAUGUGGUCCAAAUGUCUGAGUAGAAGCAACAAAACCAAAGGCUCUGCAACCGCUGCUUGCUUCUUCUUUAUUACAUGCACAUAUUUAUGAGGGUCCCUCACUCUCUUUACUGACCUUCAGAAUACUCCUUUAUGGAUACACCGGCUCCUCUCUGUUUUAGCGCACGCUGUCAUUAAUGGGCACGUCCAAAUUAUAUUUUAUCUUCUCUCAAAUCAUACUACCACGACAUGAUUUUAAAAACCCUACUUCAAAUUCUACUCUUAUUUGACCAAACUAUAGAUCCAAAAGGUCAGUUGGAGAAGUUCACCCACUCCUGUAACGGGAUUACGGUUUUGAUAUCAUUUUUCCAAUUGUUGAUGCCUUAGAUGUAAGUAAUACAAUUAAUACCAAUUGUUUUAAAAAAAUCGAUCUUACGGUUAAAGUACUACCCUUUAGAUUUUGAUAUUUCAAAACCUCAAAAUUUAAUUAUUGAAAACAAUCUUAAAGUUGUUGAAAGUCUCGUGAACUCAUAAUAUUCUAUCCAAUAACUCAACCUUAUUUUUGACCCACUUUCGAUGGAAAGAGAAAAUGAUAAUAAAAACUAUGGUUUUCUCUCUUCCUAUAUAGUGGAAUACAAAAGUUAUGAAAACUCUAACAUUUCCUAAUUGGACUUAAGUGACUUGAACCAAUAUAAGCUUAAGUUACUUAAUCUAACAUAAAAUAAGUCAUAAUUAAUUAACAAUUUACAUCCAAUCAUAUAGUAUUGUCCAUUUUGAGUCAAAAUAUGAUAUCGUGAUUUUAAAAUUCGUUUAUAAUAUUAAAAUAAAUUCAUACUUAUAUAAUAUCACAAAGCUUCUCCCUAUCCCAUAUCAUAAUUGAUGACAUAGAAAAAUUAAUAUUCCUGUUGCUAAGCUUUUUAAUGUUUAUUUAUUUAUAAGUUUUUUAAAUGAACUAUAUUAAAUUAAAAUAUCAAUUCAAAUAUAAAACAACGAUGGAUAAUUAUAUUUCAAUAAAUGUAUUUAAAAAAUAACAUGAAUCACUGUACAGAAACGAAAAACCAAGUUACAAUAUUAUCAAAAUUAUUUGAUUAAUUAUUUUAUAAAUAUAAAUUUAUAUUUUUUUAAACUCAAAAAAAGUCACCACACACAUCUACUUGUUGAUUGAGAUGUAUACUGAAAAAUUUAUGACUUAACAUCAAUUAUUUAAUUAUCAUUUUUUUUUAUCAAAAUAAAUUUAAUGAUUAUUUUUAAUUUUUAUCAACCCUCUAAUAAAA